rnacentral:lncRNA from 1 species
GGGGGCACAAGCAGAGGGAGGAUCAGAGGGCAGAGGGACAAGCAGACUUGUCACUGAGCGGGGAGCCUAAUGCGGGGCCCAAUCUUAGGGCCCCUGAGAUCAUGACCUAAACUGAAGUCAGGCACUUAACCGAAUGAACCACCCAGGCUCCCCUGUGACUCUGUUUUUAAAUGUGGAAGAUGCUGCCAAUGCUGAGAUUAAUUUUUAAUAUGUAGAAGUUUGGGGAGGGAUAUUUUCAACAGCCAAAGUACAAGAUGAUGCUUCAGACUUGGUAGGUACCAAAAACAUCUGUUGAGUUGAUUAUAAACUAGUGUAAAAGGCUUAAAGGCAGAAUGCCCAAAGAUGCUUGCAAAAGUACGAGACCAGGAGCAGUAAACUCACAGGCUCCGUCACUCCACCUACGUGACAAUGCCUGGCCUUUAUUUACACAAAUGUUUAAAUUUUUGGUUGGUUAUGCAAACAAGUAGCAUUAAGUUGUUCAGGUAUUUGUCAUGGUUUCCCUAGAAAUCAAAAGAAUCAUAACAACCCAGGUUUCUCACAAUUGGGGGGGGAUGGAUAACCUUUUACAAAAUAAAAUCCUCCAAUCUACCCCAACACCAUAUGAAAUACAUAUGGGCCUGAUGAAGAAAAAAUGGGGAUCCCUGGGUGGCGCAGCAGUUUGGCGCCUCCCUUUGGCCCAGGGUGUGAUCCUGGAGACCCGGGAUGGAAUCCCACGUCGGGCUCCCGGUGCAUGGAGCCUGCUUCUCCCUCUGCCUAUGUCUCUGCCUCUCUCUCUCUCUCUCUCUCUCUCUCUCUCUCUCUCUCUCUCUCUCUCCCUGUGACUAUCAUAAAUAAAUUUUAAAAAUUUAAAAAAAGGAAAAAGAAAAAAUGGAGCAUGAAGCCCUUUGUGUGGAUCCUGCCCGGCUCCCUCUUCAUACCAGUACCCCUUCCUCCAUGUCAGCUGGACUAUGUCGAGUGACAGGGAGUUGAGCAGAGCAUCUCACAAGAUAUAAUCUUACUUUAAUCUCAAUUUCUGAUGCUAAAACAAUGUCUCACUACUAAACAAAAGUCUGCUUCCCUGGAAGGUCUACUCAGUGGCCCAAACACCCUUCUACAAGCUUCAUCUAUUUUAUGAGGGCUCCCAUCCUGCUCUAGGGCAACAUCUUCACUGCUUCCACUACUGCUCACUAGUCAUGAGCUCCGUUCCUUUUAUCAUCCUGCUCCCCUUCCACCAGGCAUUCUCUUGAAGCUUUAAGAAUAUGCCCUUGACCCAGGGGACAGGUGCCAAUUGCUCAGUGUCUGUGGAAAUUAUUUCUCAGGCCUUCUAACAUCACAUGCACUUGCUACUUGUCUACUACUAACCCUGAUAGUACCUUUCAAUGUUUGCAUCUCAGCAGCAUGAGGAGGUGCUCUUGGAAACUCAGCUCUUGAUUCCUUGCUCCUCUUCUGAACCUGAAGUUAUCUUCUCCCCUCCACACUGUGUUCUCCUCAGAUUCUCCUCAGACAAAUUCACGGCAGACGUCUUGUGCCUGUGACCUGCUCCAGCAGACAGUGAUGCCGGGGCUGACACAGCCACUCUUCCCAGCUCAGCCCAAAGGCCUGUCAAGGACUGUGUCCGCUCUCAUCUGUUUCUCUCCUGAGGUGGAAUGCAACUUCAGAUGUGCUUUGAUCAGCUCAGAGAUCAGGGGGCCUGUUCUUCAAUACAGUUAUUCUUUUCAGGCAGAUGUGGGUUUUUCAGCAGCUUUCCUUCUCUGUUGGUUCAUCUCAAGCUCAAAGGUGAUGGUCAGUCUCCACUAGGUACAGCCCCACUCAGCUGUCUCUGGGGAGCUGGGCCCGGCAGAUUUCAUGAGGGCCCUGAGCCAGUGACAACCAAGAUUGAUAACACAGUAAGACAAAGGCUCUCAAUGACGGCUGCACAUUAGGUUCAUCUGGAGGCCUUUAAGAACUCUCAAUGCCUUGUUCCAACACCCAAGAUUGAUUCAGCUGAUCAGGAUAUCCUUUUAAAAAAAAUCACUUUUUAAUUUUUAAAAAAAAUCACUGGAAGUGGGGCCCCUGGGUCUGUCUGUCUGCCUUUGGCUUAGGUCAUGAUCUCAGGGUCCUGGGAUCAAGCCCCAUUAGACUUCCUGCUGAGUGGGGAGCCUGCUUCUCCUUCUCCCUCUGCCCCUUCUCCCCACUGCCCAUCCCAGCUCGUGCUCUGUCUCUCUCUCUAAAAAAAAAAAAAAAAAAAAAAAAAAAAAAAAAAAAAAAUUAAAAAAGUGAUAGAUCAUCAUAGGAUGAUCAGAUUCACUGAUCUGCAGGAUUCAGAGUCACUGCAGGACAUCUCUAACAGCUUCUCACCUGGAAACAGAGUCUAAGGUGCCCGUCAGAAACUCCACCAUUCAAUUCAGGAACUGUACUAAGAUUUCACAAACCACAUGUAAUUCUCCCAGCAAUUGUGGGAAACAUUAUUACUAUCCCCACUGAAAAGAUGCCAAAAGACAAGUCUCAGAAAUGUCAAGUAAUCUGCCCCAGACACACAGAGGAAGAAAGAGGUGGACAGAGAGUAUUUUGGCAGAGUCCAAAGACAGCAUUGCUAAUCCCAGUAUACCUCCAGUGUAGCCCUGUUCCUUUGCCCUCC